ACUGCAUGAUUUAUUUGCCCUGGCUGCAGCCGAGAUGUGGGAAAAGCAAAAAGUACAGCCAGCAUGCAGAGCUUCUCUGCACACAGACCCAGUUUAACCACUUUGAUGCAAAACCCUAGCCCCACCCCUUAUAAUGAUGCCCUUUGUCUGCUGCACAAACCUCUCCCAAUCUCUUCUCCAGUCUUUGGCCCGAGAUGGAACUGACAACUUCCUGUCCAUGCUUGGUUCACAUUUCAUGUUCUUUACAUAAAGCUUUUCCCAUUUUAGUAUCAUGACAGGCAGAAGGUGCUCUUUUCCUGAACUGAAGAUCCCCUGGAGGAGGGCAUGCUAACCCACUCCAGUAUACUUGCCAACCCGCUCCAGUAUUCUUGCCUGGAGAAUCUCAUGGACAGAGGAGCCUGGUGGGCUACAGUCCAUGGGGUCGCAGAGUCGGAAACAACUGAGCAACAAAGCAGACAGACACAAGUUUCCAAGGCCCCCUCGUUACAUGUGAUACACCUGGAUGAGAAUAGAAUCUCUAAGUCCCCCAGAAAUACUUGAAGAGUAUUUCACAGAAACACUUCUGUGAAAUCUCAAGAAGGACAACAAGUUACCAGGAAGGGAGCUGUGCCAUGGUGCCACUGUGUCUCUGUUGUUGGUCUGGCAUGUUUGUGGAAUCCCGUUCCAUACGGUCUGACGCCAAGUGUACACCAGUCCAAGGUUUCUUUUGUUCAUCCCUGAACCUCAUAUAGACCUACCAGGUAUCUUCGGGUAUGAUUCAGUGCUUCUGGACAUGCCAUGAUAGAGAAGAUUCCCACCCUUCCACAUUCUAAGACAGCAGGAAGCUUAUUUUCCCAUGCUAUCAGAACACAUGCUAAUUCCCACUCUAAUUGCACUAUUCA